rnacentral:rRNA from 1 species
AGUGAACGCUGGCGGUAGGCCUAACACAUGCAAGUCGAACGGCAGCACAGUAAGAGCUUGCUCUUACGGGUGGCGAGUGGCGGACGGGUGAGGAAUACAUCGGAAUCUACUUUUUCGUGGGGGAUAACGUAGGGAAACUUACGCUAAUACCGCAUACGACCUACGGGUGAAAGCAGUGGAUCUUCGGACCUUGCGCGAUUGAAUGAGCCGAUUUCGGAUUAGCUAGUUGGCGGGGUAAAGGCUCACCAAGGCAACGAUCCGUAGCUGACCUGAGAGGAUGAUAGGACACACUGGAACGGAGAAAAGGUCAAGAAGCCUAAGGGAGGCAGAAGGAGGGAAGAUUGAGAAAUGGGAGAAAGCCUGAAGGAGCAACGACGCGUGAGAGAGGAAGGGCUUCGGAUAGUAAAACGCUGUUAUUAGGGAAGAACAAAUGUGGAAGUAACUAUGCACGGCGUGACGGGACCUAAUAAGAAAGACACGGCUAACUACGUG